UGUUACUUUGUGUUGAUGCUUUUUUCUCAAGUGUGACAGUUGGGUUUUUAUGGACUGUGCAAUUACAAGAGGCGAUCUUUCAAACCACUGUUUCUAAGAGAAGUCCUAGAGAAGAAAAUGGGACCCCGAGGAACAGAAACUCCUGCAGGAUUUUUUCUGUUCUCUUUCAACCAAGAAGAAAAUGCAUGAUGAAGAAUUCAAGUGAUUUUCUCCUUCUAUAUUUGUGUUACUCACUUUCAUUAAUGAGUACACACAGAUACUCUGGCCUGUUACUGGAAGGGUGAGUGCAUUGAAUAGAACAUAAAUAGGAAGGUAACAUUCCGAGUAAACAAUGUCCAUUAAUUAAUGUAUGGGAAAUUGGUAAUCACAGCCUGAAUCUCUGAUUAAUCAGCUGAGGCCAGUGUUGGGGCAGCUGUGGGAACACAGGUGAGAGUAAUUUCGCUGUGCUCCUGAAAGGGGUGGAGCUUAACUCCUCUAGACCUCAUUUAAGGGCUGACCACCACUAAGGCAGCAUCUCUUGGAGAUUGCUCCUUGGUAGAGAUUGCUUCAGUGGUUCCCAGUAGACUGAAGGCUUCCAUACGGCUCCACAGCCUUUUUCCGGAGAAUACUCAUGGAAAGCAAAUUUCAGCCAUUUAUCAACUUUAAUUCUGGAUUAAACUUGGAAUAAAUCUGGAGAUAAUUUUACCCUGAAUAUCCAAACAGUUUUUCUCUGCUAAAACUCUUUUUCCUGGACAAUGGGUUUGUUCUGGAUCUACUCAUUUCUCUCAUUAAUUAAAUGGAGAAAUGGAAUUAUUCAGGGAGGAAUUGUGUAAGUGGAGUCUUUGUUAAACAUGUGAAAAAUGAGAAAUAAACAUUUAAAACAGCUGAAGGGCAAAGAAGAUACUGCCAAAAAAAAAAAAAAAAAAGAAUGAAAAAUGCUCAAUGGAAAGAAGAAAAUUAAAUUUAAACCAAGCGCUACUAGUAUUAUGAAAGAACAAGAAACAGAACCUCCUCCUAGACACGGUGCAAGAGCCACCAGGGAAAAAUCAGCAAAUCUGGGAGCUCCAAAUCAAGACCUGAUGGACCACAGCAAGGGCCAAGACACUGUAAAGCAGCUGCAUUAUAGCCUGUUUUCCUCAACAAAACCAGCUGAUGAACACAUCGUCACUAACACAGCUUAAGAGCACCUCCACACUUUCGCAGACACCAGCCCCACUGCCCCAUCCCUUAAACUUCCAUCCUGAAUAAAGAAAUCAUGCCAUUA